rnacentral:rRNA from 1 species
UGAGUUUACCCGUUGAAUAAGCACCGGCUAACUACGUGCCAGCAGCCGCGGUAAUACGUAGGGUGCAAGCGUUAUCCGGAAUUAUUGGGCGUAAAGGGCUCGUAGGCGGUUCGUCGCGUCCGGUGUGAAAGUCCAUCGCUUAACGGUGGAUCCGCGCCGGGUACGGGCGGGCUUGAGUGCGGUAGGGGAGACUGGAAUUCCCGGUGUAACGGUGGAAUGUGUAGAUAUCGGGAAGAACACCAAUGGCGAAGGCAGGUCUCUGGGGCCGUUACUGACGCUGAGGAGCGAAAGCGUGGGGAGCGAACAGGAUUAGAUACCCUGGUAGUCCACGCCGUAAACGGUGGAUGCUGGAUGUGGGGCCCGUUCCACGGGUUCCGUGUCGGAGCUAACGCGUUAAGCAUCCCGCCUGGGGAGUACGGCCGCAAGGCUAAAACUCAAAGAAAUUGACGGGGGCCCGCACAAGCGGCGGAGCAUGCGGAUUAAUUCGAUGCAACGCGAAGAACCUUACCUGGGCUUGACAUGUUCCCGACGGUCGUAGAGAUACGGCUUCCCUUCGGGGCGGGUUCACAGGUGGUGCAUGGUCGUCGUCAGCUCGUGUCGUGAGAUGUUGGGUUAAGUCCCGCAACGAGCGCAACCCUCGCCCCGUGUUGCCAGCGGAUUAUGCCGGGAACUCACGGGGGACCGCCGGGGUUAACUCGGAGGAAGGUGGGGAUGACGUCAGAUCAUCAUGCCCCUUACGUCCAGGGCUUCACGCAUGCUACAAUGGCCGGUACAACGGGAUGCGACGCGGCGACGCGGAGCGGAUCCCUGAAAACCGGUCUCAGUUCGGAUCGCAGUCUGCAACUCGACUGCGUGAAGGCGGAGUCGCUAGUAAUCGCGAAUCAGCAACGUCGCGGUGAAUGCGUUCCCGGGCCUUGUACACACCGCCCGUCAAGUCAUG